rnacentral:rRNA from 1 species
UACGGAGGUGGCAAGCGUUGCUCGGAAUCACUGGGCGUAAAGGGCGCGUAGGGCGGGGAGGUAAGUCGGGUGUGAAAUCCCUCGGCCCAACCGAGGAACUGCGCCCGAGACUGCUUCUCUUGAGUCCCGGAGAGGAAGGUGGAAUUCCCAGUGUAGAGGUGAAAUUCGUAGAUAUUGGGAAGAACACCGGUGGCGAAGGCGGCCAUCUGGACCGGCACUGACGCUGAGGCGCGAAAGCGUGGGGAGCAAACAGG